GACGAACGCUGGCGGCGUGCCUAAUACAUGCAAGUAGAACGCACAGUUUAUACCGUAGCUUGCUACACCAUAGACUGUGAGUUGCGAACGGGUGAGUAACGCGUAGGUAACCUGCCUGGUAGCGGGGGAUAACUAUUGGAAACGAUAGCUAAUACCGCAUAAUAUUAAUUAUUGCAUGAUAAUUAAUUGAAAGGUGCAAUUGCACCACUACCAGAUGGACCUGCGUUGUAUUAGCUAGUAGGUGAGGUAACGGCUCACCUAGGCGACGAUACAUAGGCGACCUGAGAGGGUGAUCGGCCACACUGGGACUGAGACACGGCCCAGACUCCUACGGGGGGCAGCAGUAGGGAAUCUUCGGCAAUGGACGAAAGUCUGACCGAGCAACGCCGCGUGAGUGAAGAAGGUUUUCGGAUCGUAAAGCUCUGUUGUAAGAGAAGAACGGGUGUGAGAGUGGAAAGUUCACACUGUGACGGUAGCUUACCAGAAAGGGACGGCUAACUACGUG
rnacentral:rRNA from 1 species